rnacentral:rRNA from 1 species
AACGCGAAGAACCUUACCUACCCUUGACAUCCUAAGAAUCCUGCAGAGAUGCGGGAGUGCCGAAAGGAAUUUAGAGACAGGUGCUGCAUGGCUGUCGUCAGCUCGUGUUGUGAGAUGUUGGGUUAAGUCCCGUAACGAGCGCAACCCUUAUCCUUAGUUGCCAACAUGUAAUGGUGGGGACUCUAAGGAGACUGCUGGUGAAGAACCGGAGGAAGGCGGGGACGACGUCAAGUCAUCAUGGCCUUUAUGGGUAGGGCAACACACGUGCUACAAUGGUCCGUACAGAGGGUAGCCAACCCGCGAGGGGGAGCCAAUCCCGAAAAGCGGAUCGUAGUCCGGAUUGAAGUCUGCAACUCGACUUCAUGAAGUUGGAAUCGCUAGUAAUCGCGAAUCAGAACGUCGCGGUGAAUACGUUCCCGGGCCUUGUACACACCGCACGA